rnacentral:rRNA from 1 species
CGCGGCCUAUCAGCUUGUUGGUGGGGUAGUGGCCUACCAAGGCGACGACGGGUAGCCGGCCUGAGAGGGCGACCGGCCACACUGGGACUGAGACACGGCCCAGACUCCUACGGGAGGCAGCAGUGGGGAAUAUUGCGCAAUGGGCGAAAGCCUGGCGCAGCGACGCCGCGUGAGGGAUGACGGCCUUCGGGUUGUAAACCUCUUUCAGCAGGGACGAAGCGCGAGUGACGGUACCUGCAGAAGAAGCACCGGCUAACUACGUGCCAGCAGCCGCGGUAAUACGUAGGGUGCGAGCGUUGUCCGGAAUUAUUGGGCGUAAAGAGCUCGUAGGCGGUUUGUCGCGUCGACUGUGAAAACCUACAGCUUAACUGUGGGCUUGCAGUCGAUACGGGCAGACUUGAGUUCGGUAGGGGAGACUGGAAUUCCUGGUGUAGCGGUGAAAUGCGCAGAUAUCAGGAGGAACACCGGUGGCGAAGGCGGGUCUCUGGGCCGAUACUGACGCUGAGGAGCGAAAGCGUGGGGAGCGAACAGGAUUAGAUACCCUGGUAGUCCACGCCGUAAACGGUGGGAACUAGGUGUGGGGGGCUUCCACGUCCUCCGUGCCGUAGCUAACGCAUUAAGUUCCCCGCC